rnacentral:rRNA from 1 species
GGGGAAUAUUGGACAAUGGGCGAAAGCCUGAUCCAGCCAUGCCGCGUGAGUGAUGAAGGCCUUAGGGUUGUAAUGCUCUUUUAGCAGGGAAGAUAAUGGCGGUACCUGCAGAAUAAGCCCCGGCUAACUUCGUGCCAGCAGCCGCGGUAAUACGAAGGGGGCUAGCGUUGUUCGGAAUUACUGGGCGUAAAGCGCACGUAGGCGGAUUGCCAAGUCAGGGGUGAAAUCCCGGGGCUCAACCUCGGAACUGCCUUUGAUACUGUCAGUCUAGAGUCCGGAAGAGGUGGGUGGAAUUCCUAGUGUAGAGGUGAAAUUCGCAGAUAUUAGGAAGAACACCGGUGGCGAAGGCGGCCCACUGGUCCGGAACUGACGCUGAGGUGCGAAAGCGUGGGGAGCAAAC